rnacentral:rRNA from 1 species
CGCUCUAGAGCUAAUACAUGCAUUUCAGUCGUGACCCGAAAGGGGAAGGACGCUUUUAUUAGAUCAAAGCCAAUCGGCCGGUUCGCCCGGUCGUUCCGUUUUGGUGACUCUGGAUAACCUUGGGCUGAUCGCACGGUCUCCGCGCCGGCGACAUGUCCUUCAAAUGUCUGCCUUAUCAACUGACGAUGGUAGGUUUUGCGCCUACCAUGGUUGUAACGGGUGACGGGGAAUCAGGGUUCGAUUCCGGAGAGGGAGCCUGAGAAACGGCUACCACAUCCAAGGAAGGCAGCAGGCGCGCAAAUUACCCACUCCCGGCACGGGGAGGUAGUGACGAAAAAUAACGAUACGGGACUCAUCCGAGGCCCCGUAAUCGGAAUGAGAACAUUUUAAAUCUCUUAACGAUUACCCAUUAGAGGGCCAGUCUGGUGCCAGCAGCCGCGGUAAUUCCAGCUCUAAUAGCGUAUAUUAAAAUUGCUGCGGUUAAAAAGCUCGUAGUUUGACCUGUGCCCCGCGCUGCCGGUUCACCGCUCGUCGGUGUCCAACUGGCAUGCGUGCGGGGCGUCCUGCCGGUGGGCGCGAGCCGACUGCGGUGGUAGGCGCUCUCGGGCCAGGCUCCGGCGGUGAGCAAUCGCUGUCGGGCCCGGCUCUCGGGGGCGUCGCGGCCCCGUGGAAGGCGGACCCCGAUCUCACCCGCCGCGGUGCUCUUAACUGAGUGUCGUGCGGGCCGGCACGUUUACUUUGAACAAAUUAACGUGCUUAACGCAGGCCUUUGUCUGCCCGAAUACUCUUGCAUGGAAUAAUGGAAUAGGACCUCGGUUCUAUUUUGUUGGUUUUCGGAAGUCGAGGUAAUGAUUAAUGGGGAUUGCCGGGGGCAUCCGUAUUGCGACGUUAGAGGUGAAAUUCUUGGAUCGUCGCAAGACGAACUGGAGCGAAAGCGUUUGCCAAGUAUGUUUUCUUUAAUCAAGAACGAAAGUUAGAGGUUCGAAGGCGAUCAGAUACCGCCCUAGUUCUAACCAUAAACUAUGCCAACUAGCGAUCCGCUGUGUGUCUUACAUGUCACGGCGGGCAGCCUCCGGGAAACCAAAGUUUUUGGGUUCCGGGGGAAGUAUGGUUGCAAAGCUGAAACUUAAAGGAAUUGACGGAAGGGCACCACCAGACGUGGAGCCUGCGGCUUAAUUUGACUCAACGCGGGGAACCUCAUCAGGCCAGGACACCGGAAGGAUUGACAGAUUGAGAGCUCUUUCUUGAUUCGGUGGGUGGUGGUGCAUGGCCGUUCUUAGUUCGUGGAUUGAUUUGUCUGCUUAAUUGCGAUAACGAACGAGAUCCUACCCUACUAACUAGUCGAAACCGGCAUCCCCUGUGCAGCCGGCGACCAACACUCUUCUUAGAGGGACAAGCGGCUUCCAGCCGAGGAAGUGGGGCAAUAACAGGUCUGUAAUGCCCUUAGAUGUUCUGGGCAGCACGCGCGCUACACUGAAGGUAUCAACGUGUGUUUUCCUUGCUCGAGAGGGCCGGGUAACCCGUUGAAACUCCUUCGUGCUAGGGAUUGGGGCUUGCAAUUAUUCCCCACCAACGAGGAAUGCCUAGUAAGCGGGAAUCAUUACUUCCCGCUGAUUAAGUCCCUGCCCUUUGUACACACCGCCCGUCGCUACUACCGAUUGAAUAUUUUAGUGAGGUCUUCGGACCAGCCCGCGGACCCUUCUCAGGGGCCGUAGAGCCGGAAAGAUGACCGAACUUGAAUAUUUAGAGGAAGUAAAAGUCGUAACAAGGUUUCCGUAGGUGAACCUUCGGAAGGAUCAUUA